UACGAAGGGUGCUAGCGUUGUUCGGAAUCACUGGGCGUAAAGCGUGCGUAGGCGGCUUUGCAAGUCAGGGGUGAAAUCCCACAGCUCAACUGUGGAAUUGCCUUUGAAACUGCAUGGCUGGAGUGUCGGAGGGGAUAGCGGAAUUCCUAAUGUAGUGGUGAAAUACGUAGAUAUUAGGAGGAACACCGGUGGCGAAGGCGGCUAUCUGGACGACAACUGACGCUGAGGCACGAAAGCGUGGGGAUCAAACAGG
rnacentral:rRNA from 1 species